UAGAUUUAUCUUCCCGAUCGAAUCAGUCAAAAAUUCUUUUAUUAUUUCCCCUCAAACCCAAUUUUGUUCACAUUUUUCAUUCCCCAAAACCUUCUCUCCCUUCUCUCCGACGAUUCUGGCAAUUUUGGUGAUUUCAACCGUCAGCAACUUUCGGGCGGUGACAGCGGGAUAUCCCGGUGGCGACGACGACAACAUUGAUCUAGGUCCACAAAAUCCAAAAAAGUUGAUUGAUAUUAACAUGCAGCCUUUGAUUGAUGAGUUGAAGUUAUUGUGGCAUCAAGGCGUGGAAACAUAUGAUGUAUCAACUAAGCAAAACUUUAGAUUGCGUGCUGCUUUGAUGUGGACUAUAAAUAAUUUUCCUGCUUAUGAAAUGAUGUCCGGGUGGUCGACUGCUGGAGAGUUAGCUUGCCCGACUUGUACAGAAGAUACAAAGGUAUUCACUUUGAAACAUAGAGGUAAGAACACAUGGUUUGACUGCCGUCGCCGCUUCUUGCCAAUGGAUCAUGAGUUUCAGAGAAAUACUAGUGCAUUUAUGAAGAACAAAAUUGAUUAUGAGGAGCCACCAUCCAUAUUGUCUCCAGAAGAGAUUUGGAACAGAGUUAGGGAACUACCUAAGGUAACAUAGUAUCCUUUGGCUAAUAAGAUACCUGGUUAUGGUGUUACACACAGCUGGACUAAACAGAGCAUAUUCUGGGAGUUACCUUAUUGGAAGCACAAUCUUCUUCGGCAUAAUCUUGAUGUCAUGCAUAUUGAGAAGAACAUUUUUGACAACUUGUUUAAUAAUGUGAUGGAUGUCAACAACAAGACAAAGGAUAAAUUGAAGGCCAGGAUGAACUUAAAGGAAUAUUGUAGGCGAAGUGAGUGUACCUGACAUAUUUGAACAACAAGAUUCAGAAAUCCAAGGCCAGUUUUACCUUCACCUUGGAAGAAAGAAGAGAGAUUUAUGAUUGGGUUAAUAAUUUGAGUAUGUCAGAUGGGUAUACAUCAAAUCUGUCUAGGUGUGUUGACUUGAAAGAAGGAAAGUUGACGUCUAUGAAAAGCCAAACUGUUACAUUUUCAUGGAUUUUUUUAUGCAUGUUGCAUUUAAUGCAUUACCUGAUAGAAUAUGGAAGCCCAUCACAGAGGUAAGCUUAUUUUUCAAGGAGUUAUGUUCUAGCACCUUGAGGGUGGAGAACCUAACUUACAUGGAGAAUAACAUUCGCGUAACUCUAAACAAGUUAGUGAAAAAUUUUCCUCUUGGUUUUUUUGACGUGACAGAACAUCUUCCAAUUCACCUUGUACAAGAGGAAUGGUUUGGAGGGCCAGUUCAAUGCAGAUGGAUGUAUCCAUUUGAGAGAUAAUUAAUGACUUUUAAUCAUUAAUUCUUAUGUGUUUCAUUUUUACAUUAUUCCAUCUAAAAAUUCUUAUGUGUUUGACUACCAUCGCCGCUUCUUGCUAGUGGAACACCCCUGAGUGGAAGAAGAAGAGUGAACAUGCAAAGUUAAAUAGAGCUUCUACUAAGGGUGGAGCUUUGCAUACUGGUGAAUCUAUCAGAAAAAGAAACGUGAGGGAGAUGUGACUUAUGCUGAUGUCUUUGCGGAGACCCAUAAAAGAAGAAGAAGGACGACACAAGAGAAGGAUGGGUCGAACCGCAUGCUUCAGAGACAUUUGAACUCAGCCGGCCCGAAGGAGAUUAUUGCAGUUUGGACACAGGCGGCAAGUGGCAUGAAUAAAGGUCGAGUCUAUGGGAUUGGAGUACAGUCAUUCUCCAGUCGUCCAGCAUUAUUAUUCGUUGGUGUAAUGACCCGACCGGUCGUUUUGAGCUCUAGCGCGUCGCUCGGCAGUUUAAGGCCUUGGGUAG